rnacentral:rRNA from 1 species
UACGGGGGGAGCAAGCGUUGUUCGGAUUUACUGGGCGUAAAGGGCGCGUAGGCGGUCAGCACAAGUCAGUUGUGAAAUCUCCGGGCUUAACUCGGAAAGGUCAACUGAUACUGUGCGACUAGAGUGCAGAAGGGGCAACUGGAAUUCUCGGUGUAGCGGUGAAAUGCGUAGAUAUCGAGAGGAACACCUGCGGCGAAGGCGGGUUGCUGGGCUGGCACUGACGCUGAUGCGCGAAAGCCAGGGGAGCGAACGGG